rnacentral:rRNA from 1 species
UACGGGGGGGGCAAGCGUUGUUCGGAAUUACUGGGCGUAAAGGGCUCGUAGGCGGCCAACUAAGUCAGACGUGAAAUCCCCAGGCUCAACCUGGGAACUGCGUCUGAUACUGGAUGGCUUGAAUUCGGGAGAGGGAUGCAGAAUUCCAGGUGUAGCGGUGAAAUGCGUAGAUAUCUGGAGGAACACCAGCGGCGAAGGCGGCCGACUGGUCCGGUUCUGACGCUGAGGCGCGAAAGCGUGGGGAGCAAACAGG